AUACGUAGGUGGCGAGCGUUGUCCGGAAUUACUGGGCGUAAAGGAUGCGUAGGUGGAUAUUUAAGUGGGAUGUGAAAUCCCCGGGCUCAACCCGGGAACUGCAUUCCAAACUGGGUAUCUAGAGUGCAGGAGAGGAAAGCGGAAUUCCUAGUGUAGCGGUGAAAUGCGUAGAUAUUAGGAGGAACACCAGUGGCGAAGGCGGCUUUCUGGACUUUAACUGACACUGAGGCAUGAAAGCGUGGGUAGCAAACAGGAUUAGAUACCCUGGUAGUCCACGCCGUAAACGAUGGGUACUAGGUGUAGGAGGUAUCGACCCCUUCUGUGCCGUCGUUAACACAAUAAGUACCCCGCCUGGGGAGUACGGUCGCAAGACUAAAACUCAAAUGAAUUGACGGGG
rnacentral:rRNA from 1 species